rnacentral:rRNA from 1 species
GUGAGGAAUAUUGGACAAUGGAUGGAAAUCUGAUCCAGCCAUGCCGCGUGCAGGAAGACGGCCCUAUGGGUUGUAAACUGCUUUUAUACGGGAGCAAUAAGGUCUAUGCAUAGAUUGAUGAGAGUACCGUAUGAAUAAGCAUCGGCUAACUCCGUGCCAGCAGCCGCGGUAAUACGGAGGAUGCGAGCGUUAUCCGGAUUUAUUGGGUUUAAAGGGUGCGUAGGCGGCUUUGUAAGUCAGCGGUGAAAUUUUGCAGCUUAACUGUAAAAGCGCCGUUGAUACUGUGAAGCUAGGAUUUGGUUGCUGUGGGCGGAAUGUGUGGUGUAGCGGUGAAAUGCAUAGAGAUCACACAGAAUAUCGAUUGCGAAGGCAGCUCACAAAGCCAAUAUUGACGCUGAGGCACGAAAGUGUGGGGAUCAAACAGGAUUAGAAACCCCAGUAGUCC